GAUGCUCCACACUAGGCCCUUUCUGGAUGAGGAUUGUGCAGCAGCUUGUGCAUGUAGGAGCAUGUGCUAUGCUGUUCCUGGGCAUAUGGCCCCAAGAGGUUGCCACAAAGGACCCUAUUGUCACUAUUGGCCACAGAGUGGCUGGAGAGGCCUGCAAUGCUCCUGACCCCGGGUGGGACACCCUCCUUCCACAAGCACCUCCGAGACAGGGGACAUUCAUACACAUGCUCAGCAGUCCUGCACAUGGGCAUGCCCACAGUCUAUGGGGCAGCAUGCACUCCUGGACACGUGGGCCCACUGGCCAUAGCACACAUGGCCUUGCUCCAAACACAGAGUCUGUGACAGCUGAGAACUGUUGCUCUUAGCUUGCAGAUAGGGGCUAGGCUUCAGGCCCUAUCCCUUGGAAUGACUGACUAUGUCUCUCUCCUCCACAGCCGGAUCAGCCGCAAGGGGGGAGGCAGUCACCACCUGGAACAGCCUCCUGGACCUAAGGCACUUGCAGGCACUACCUUCCUAUGGAUGAGUACCAGAUGCAGAACCUGGCACCACUCCGAGCCCUGCCCUGCACUAUCCAUGGCUUAGGACCUGCACCUGUGUUGGGAGAGCUGGCAGGAGCUGAUUGUGCAGGUCACACUCCCAAAGUACAGGCUUACAGCAGCAUCAACAAUGAAAAGAAGAGGAAAUAUCAUCUUACAUUGGGAAAAUCCACCUGUAUAUAAAUCUCAGAAUCCCAUAAAUGAAAACCUCUCAGAUGCCUGAUGUAAUCCAGGAGCACAUGAAGGAGAGUGGCAGUUGAUGUUGAUGCACCAUGCUUUAAAAUAGUUCUACUUCUGAAGG